CCUACGGGAGGCAGCAGUGAGGAAUAUUGGUCAAUGGCCGGAAGGCUGAACCAGCCAAGCCGCGUGCAGGACGAAGGUGCCCAGCAUUGUAAACUUCUUUUGUCACGGGACAAAAUCAGGCUCGAGAGCCUGACCGAGGGUACUUGAAGAAAAAGCAUAGGCUAACUCCGUGCCAGCAGCCGCGGUAAUACGGAGGAUGCGAGGGUUAUCCGGAUUUAUUGGGUUUAAAGGGUACGUAGGCUGACUGUUAAGUCAGCGGUAAAAGCCCGGGGCUCAACCCCGGCGAGCCGUUGAUACUGGCUGUCUAGAGAUGUCUAGAGGUAUGCGGAAUGCGCAGUGUAGCGGUGAAAUGCGUAGAUAUAGCGCAGAACUCCGAUGGCGAAGGCAGCAUACUGGCUGCGAUCUGACGCUGAGGCACGAAAGCGUGGGUAUCGAACAGGAUUAGAUACCCGGGUAGUC
rnacentral:rRNA from 1 species